rnacentral:lncRNA from 1 species
CUAGGAAAUGAUUAUCUCAUAAUCAGGAAAUUAACUUGUCAGCACUGGCCUGGCAGUGCCACACCUGCUUGGUGAGCAGGCAGGCAAGGUGGCUGCAGAUUCCACUUUGCCCCAUAAUGAAGAUGUAACCCAGCUCAAGCCUGAGAGCUAGGACAGCCAUCAAGCCAGGCCCAAAGGAUCAGUAGGCAGGUCUCUGGCAGCAUACCCCAACCUUUUUUACCCCCUGACUCCAUGGUGCCCUUGUCCUGGAAUUCCCAGCUAUGCAUGUGCAUGCCCAGCUCUACCUAUGCAGAGGCACACAGUCUUUAGCUCCAAAGCCCACCCUGUCAGUCCUGAACACCCCUCCACCACCACCCUGCACCCUUUUACAGCACUCACCUGUCCACCCCACCAAUGGGGAGAGACAGCAGCAGAAGGGCUUGACUCACAGAAGGGAUUUGUAAGUGUGUGCUUGAUUGCGCCAGCUGCCCAGGAGGCAGGCUGGGCUGAGGGGGAGGCAGACAAUGCUAACCAAUGCGGAGGUCAGCUCCCUGCUCAGAGGCCAAGCCUCUGCUGCCUCUCUGCACACCUAAUGCACAUUUCCUCCCAGCGUGACCCCACCUCUAGAAGCUUCCCUUGAUGCUUCAGUUACUCCAGGGGUUCCCUCCUUGCCCUCUCAGGCCCUGCACAGUGAUGCAGCCAGGCAAGAGCCCAUGAGGGCAGGGGUGAGUGGUAUUAUCUUUUGCCUGUACUCAGCUUCUGGUGCACGUCUCCCAGGUGCACAGUGGGUGCUGAGAGCUGGCAAAGACAGACAUGGACUUGGGCCACUCUCCACCCCAGGAGCCAAUGCCCAUACUCCAUAAAACGUCUGGUGGCACUGCCUGUGUGAGCACAGACUUCAUUGUCAAGCAGGGUCUGGAAUCGAUUCCCAGAGUCCUUUCUUUUGCAGAAAGAUUUGCGUUGGGUUUGGAAAACCUGUGGUUCCAGCUGGCCCACAAGCAGGGGGAAGGAUGGGUUGUCUCUUGAGGUUUGGAUGGCAAAGGCCUCUGGGGCCUCGCUUUCCCAUCCUGUGUCUCUUCCUGCUUUGGCAUUCUGACACCCCUCACCCUGUGAUCAUGAGUCCCGACAAAAAGAAGGCCCUUGGUCCAGCUGCCUGUGGAAAUGAGCAGGUGUUUACACCUCAGGGGAACAGUGAACACAGAGACAGGUGACACAGAAUAUAAAACACCCGUCCCU